UACGUAGGGUGCGAGCGUUGUCCGGAAUUAUUGGGCGUAAAGAGCUUGUAGGCGGUUUGUCGCGUCUGCUGUGAAAUCUCAAGGCUCAACCUUGAGCUUGCAGUGGAUACGGGCAGACUAGAGGUAGGUAGGGGAGAAUGGAAUUCCCGGUGUAGCGGUGAAAUGCGCAGAUAUCGGGAGGAACACCCGUGGCGAAGGCGGCUCUCUGGGACGGUACUGACGCUGAGACGCGAAAGCGUGGGGAGCGAACAGG
rnacentral:rRNA from 1 species